rnacentral:lncRNA from 1 species
UAUAGGAAGGAGCAAGGGCUAACGGUCUGGAACGGGCAGCGAGGAGGAGGACCCGCCCGUCCCCACUUCCGAGCGUGUGGAAGGGCCAGCAGCCAUCGCUGGGGAAGACUGUGCAGAAGCUGUGUCCUCAGGAGGGUGUGAGCAUCUCUCAAGAACCUCAGCGAGAAUAAAAAAGUGGUUCCAUUUCCUGGUAAGAGAGUGAAUUAUCGAUGAUCAUUUGCGGGGGCACGUGUGACACAUGCAGGUGGCUGUUCUGGCUCACUUUGUCCAUUUGUGAGUUUCCCCAUUGAAGAAGUCCCACGUGGGUUACUUUGUGCAUCACCUGAGCCUGGGCACCCACCGGCCCUUCCGUCAACUGGCCGCCUCCCACUGGUAUUACG